rnacentral:rRNA from 1 species
AUGGCAUGCCUUGUUCUAACUUUUAGCGCCACAACCGGAGGCGUCGAUCAAGGCGAGGAGAACGAUAAGAGCAACACGGUAAAUGACAAGGCCAUCAAGAAUGAUGAGGUGGAUAGCGAUGCUGAGACCAUCGAUUUCGAGUUUGAAGCAAUGCAAGCUGCCAGAGCAAGUGAAGUGCGUGUGGAACGAUUUUAUGCCCCAGAUUCAAUGCCGGACUCGGUACCCCCAGGAAUGGAAUCAUAUAGGGAUUUCAUACUAAAGUCCUUGAUGACAUCGUAUGAUCCAAAGAUGAUGAAGAAAUGA